rnacentral:rRNA from 1 species
UGCCGUAUACAGGGGGAUAACACUUAGAAAUAGGUGCUAAUACCGCAUAAGCGCACGGUUCCGCAUGGAACAGUGUGAAAAACUCCGGUGGUAUACGAUGGAUCCGCGUCUGAUUAGCCNGUUGGCGGGGUAACGGCCCACCAAAGCGACGAUCAGUAGCCGGCCUGAGAGGGUGAACGGCCACAUUGGGACUGAGACACGGCCCAAACUCCUACGGGAGGCAGCAGUGGGGAAUAUUGCACAAUGGGGGAAACCCUGAUGCAGCGACGCCGCGUGAGUGAAGAAGUAUUUCGGUACGUAAAGCUCUAUCAGCAGGGAAGAAAAAAAGUCCUUUGGACUUUGGACGGUACCUGACCAAGAAGCCCCGGCUAACUACGUGCCAGCAGCCGCGGUAAUACGUAGGGGGCAAGCGUUAUCCGGAUUUACUGGGUGUAAAGGGAGCGUAGACGGCAGCGCAAGUCUGGAGUGAAAUGCCGGGGCCCAACCCCGGAACUGCUUUGGAAACUGUGCAGCUCGAGUGCAGGAGAGGUAAGCGGAAUUCCUAGUGUAGCGGUGAAAUGCGUAGAUAUUAGGAGGAACACCAGUGGCGAAGGCGGCUUACUGGACUGUAACUGACGUUGAGGCUCGAAAGCGUGGGGAGCAAACAGGAUUAGAUACCCUGGUAGUCCACGCCGUANACGAUGAUU